rnacentral:rRNA from 1 species
AUUGAACGCUGGCGGCAUGCCUUACACAUGCAAGUCGAACGGCAGCACGGGGGCAACCCUGGUGGCGAGUGGCGAACGGGUGAGUAAAGCAUCGGAACGUACCCGGAAGUGGGGGAUAACGUAGCGAAAGUUACGCUAAUACCGCAUAUUCUGUGAGCAGGAAAGCAGGGGAUCGCAAGACCUUGCGCUUUCGGAGCGGCCGAUGUCGGAUUAGCUAGUUGGUGGGGUAAAAGCCUACCAAGGCGACGAUCCGUAGCGGGUCUGAGAGGAUGAUCCGCCACACUGGGACUGAGACACGGCCCAGACUCCUACGGGAGGCAGCAGUGGGGAAUUUUGGACAAUGGGGGCAACCCUGAUCCAGCCAUGCCGCGUGAGUGAAGAAGGCCUUCGGGUUGUAAAGCUCUUUCGGCCGGGAAGAAAUCGCACGGGAUAAUACCCUGUGUGGAUGACGGUACCGGAAUAAGAAGCACCGGCUAACUACGUGCCAGCCGCCGCAGUAA